GGAAUAUUGGACAAUGGACGGAAGUCUGAUCCAGCCAUCCCGCGUGCAGGAUGAAUGCCCUAUGGGUUGUAAACUGCUUUUGUACAGGAAGAACCGCCCUGCUUUAUUGGGGCCUGACGGUACUGUAAGAAUAAGCACCGGCUAACUCCGUGCCAGCAGCCGCGGUAAUACGGAGGGUGCAAGCGUUAUCCGGAAUCACUGGGUUUAAAGGGUGCGUAGGCGGCUGAGUAAGUCAGGAGUGAAAGCCUGCGGCUUAACCGUAGAAUUGCUUUUGAUACUGCUGAGCUUGAAUUAGGUUGAGGUUAGCGGAAUGUGACAUGUAGCGGUGAAAUGCAUAGAUAUGUCAUAGAACACCAAUUGCGAAGGCAGCUGACUAGACCUUAAUUGACGCUGAGGCACGAAAGCGUGGGGAGCGAAC
rnacentral:rRNA from 1 species